UACGUAGGUGGCAAGCGUUGUCCGGAUUUAUUGGGUUUAAAGGGUGCGUAGGCGGCCUUGUAAGUCAGUGCUGAAAUAUCCCGGCUUAACCGGGAGGGUGGCAUUGAUACUGGAGGGCUUGAGUAGAGUCGAGGUAGGCGGAAUUGACGGUGUAGCGGUGAAAUGCUUAGAUAUUGUCAAGAACACCGAUAGCGAAGGCAGCUUGCUAGCCUGUAACUGACGCUGAGGCACGAAAGUGUGGGGAUCAAACAGG
rnacentral:rRNA from 1 species